rnacentral:rRNA from 1 species
CGAGUCGCGAUUCCCAGCCACCAAUCCCCAGUCACCAGUCCCGAGUCACGAUCCACGAGUCAUUAGUCACCAGUCACUUAGUAAUGCAAUCCAAAUUUUGUUUUCAAUGAAAUUUUUGAUGGCCAUGUUGUGUGUUUUAUGAUGCAAGUCCCAUAAUAAAUUUUGCUCAAAAUUAAACUUUUAAUUUUUUAAAUAUUUUUUAAUAAUAUUUAUAUUUUCUACACUUUAAAAAAAAUAUAAUUAAAUAAUCCCAUUUCAGAAAAUUCCAAUUUUUUGUGGGAAGUGUUAUUUAAGUAUUGACAAUGUCCCUAUAAAAGGGUUUGAGUGAGAGCGUACCUGUCGGGACCUGAAAGAUGGUGAACUAUGCUUGAUCCCCUGACAUGUGUGCGAGUCAACUGGCGAGUAAACCCGUAAGGCGCAAGGAAGCCGAUUGGUGGGAUCCUCUUGUGGGUUGCACCACCGACCGACCCAGAUCUUCUGUGAAGGGUUCGAGUGAGAACAUACAUGUCGGGACCCGAAAGAUAGUGAACUAUACCUGAGCGGGGCGAAGCCAGAGGAAACUCUAACGGAGGGUCGCAACGAUACUGACGUGCAAAUCAUUCAUCUGACUUUGGUAUAUGGGCGAAAGACUAAUCGAACCGUCUAGUAGCUGGUUCCCUCCGAAGUUUCCCUCAAGAUAGCUGGGGCCUGAGGGUGAGUUCUAUCGGGUAAAGCCAAUGAUUAGAGGCAUCUGGGGCGCAGAUGCGCUCGACCUACUCUCAAACUUUAAAUAGGUAGGAACGGUGUGGUUUGCUUUGUUGAGCCAUGCCAUAGAAUCGAGAGCUCGAAGUGGGCAAUUUUUUGUAAGCAGAAACUGGCGAUGCUGAUUAAUAACCGGAUAGCUGGUUACGGUGCCCAACUGCGCGCUAACCUAAGACCCACAAAGGGAAGUUGGUUGAUUAAGACAGCAGGACGGUGGUCAUGGAAGUCGAAAUCCGGUAAGGAGUGUGUAACAACCCACCUGCCGAAUCAACUAGCCCCGAAAAUGGUUAGCGCUAUAGCGCGCGACCUAUACCCGGUCGUUGGGACAAGGGCCAGGCCCCGAUGAGUAGGAGGGUGCGGCGGUCGCUGCAAAAUGUGGGGCGCGAGCUUGGGCGGAGCGGUCGUCGGUUCAGAUCUUGGUGGUAGUAGCAAAUAUUCAAAUGAGAACUUUGAAGGCCGAAGAGGGGAAAGGUUCCAUGUGAACGACACUUGCACAUGGGUUAGUCGAUCCUAAGGGACGGGGGAAGCCCAUUUGUUAGUGCUCUAAGCGUGUACACCGAAACGAAAUCAGGUUAAAAUUCCUGGACUGAGACGUGGUGGCUGACGGCAACAAUAGGAAGUCUAGAGACGUUGGCGGGGGCCCCAGAAAGAGUUAUCUUUUAUGUUUAACAGCCUGCCCACCCUAGAAACGGCUCAGCCGAAGUAUGGUCCAACGGCUGAAAGAGGACCGCACGUCGCGUGGUGUUCGGUGCGCCCCUGGCGGCCCUUGAAAAUAUAGAGGACAGAGUUCCUUCCAUUCCCGGUCGUACUCAUAACCGCAUCAGGUCUCCAAAGUGAACAUCCUCUGGUCGAUGGAACAAUGUAGGCAAGGGAAGUCGGCAAAAUGGAUCCGUAACCUCGUGAAAAGGAUUAGCUCUAAGGGCUGAGCACGAGGUUCCCAGUUCUGAACCUGUCGGCUGUUGGUGGACUGCUUGAGCUGCUCCCACGGCGAGAGCGGGUCACCGCGUGCCGAUCAUGGGACAGAUUGGGAAGGGGCCCUUCGGAGCCUCUUCCCCGGGCAUCGAACAAUCAACUCAGAACUGGUACGGACAAGGGGUAUCCGACUGUUUAAUUAAAAUAAAGCAUUGUGAUGGUCCCUACGGAUGUUGACGCAAUGUGAUUUCUGCCCGAUGCUCUGAAUGUCAAAGUGAAGAAAUUCAACCAAGCGCGGGUAAACGAUGGGAGUAACUAUGACUCUCUUAAGGUAGCCAAAUGCCUCGUCAUCUAAUUAGUGACGCGCAUGAAUGGACUAAUGAGAUUCCCAAUGUCCCUGUCUACUAUCUAGCGAAACCACAACCAAGGGAAUGGGCUUAGCGGAAUCAGCCGGGAAAGAAGACCAUGUUGAGCUUGACUCUAGUCCGACUUUGUGAAAUGACUUGAGAGGUGUAGGAUAAGUGGGAGCUGGAAAUAGCGAAAGUGAAAUACCACUACUUUUAACGUUAUUUUACUUAUUCCGUGAAUCGGAGGCGGGGCGCUGCCCUUCUUUUUGGAUCCAAGGCUGACUUCGGUUGGCCAAUCCGGGCGGAAGACAUUGUUAGGUGGGGAGUUUGGUUGGGGCAGCACAUCUGUUAAAAGAUAAAGCAGGUGUCUGAAGAUGAGCUCAACGAGAACAGAAAUUUCGUGUGGAACAAAAGGGUAAAAGCUCGUUUGAUUUUGAUUUCUAGUACGAAUACGAAUCGUGAAAGCGUGGCCUAUCGAUCCUUUAGUCCUUCGGAAUUUGAAGCUAGAGGUGUCAGAAAAGUUACCACAAGGAUAACUGGCUUGUGGCAGCCAAGCGUUCAUAGCGACGUUGCUUUUUUAUCCUUCGAUGUCGGCUCUUCCUAUCAUUGUGAAGCAGAAUUCACAAAGUUUUGGAUUGUUCACCCAUCAAUAGGGAACCUGAGUUGGGUUUAGACUGUCGUGACAUAGGUUAGUUUUAUCCUACUGAUGAGAGUGUCACAAUAGUAAUUCAACCUAGUAUGAGAGGAACCGUUGAUUCGCACAAUUGGUCAUUGUGGUUGGUUGAAAAGCCAGUGGCGCAAAACUAUCGUGCGUUGGAUUAUGAUUGAACGCCUCUAAGUCAGAAUUCGGGCUAGAAGCGAUGCGUGUUCCCGUCGUUCGCUUGCCGACCAGCAAUAGGGGGCCUUGGCCCCCCAGAGGCACGUGUCGUUGGUGGACCUCGUAAGGCGGAUGAGCCUUACGGGAUACCUUGAAAC